rnacentral:lncRNA from 1 species
GUCAGAGAGGUCCUGCAGAGACUUCAACAAAUUGGAGGGCUCAGCAUCCAUUAACCACAAGAAAUUCAGCAAGAGUAAGUGCAGCGCAUUGAUGCCGCCCUUGUCCAGAAACACGGAUAUGCUGCACACUAUGAAAAUAAUGCCCUUUCCAGGGCAAGAUGCCAGAUGCUCUCUGAUGCCCGUACUCUCUUCCUGCUCUUGCCCACCUUGUUGUUGUAGCGUGCACAUGCCGUCUCGGCAUUCAGUGCACAGUGAAGGCAAUCGCAAAAGUCCAGCAGAUGCUGACUCCCAAACACAAGGCGCUGUCUAUGUUCUUGCUUCUUGACAAUUCAACACAGCCCUUCUUUUCUGUAGCUGCCAUCGAGGUCUCUGCAUCUCGGAGCGGCAGAGGCCAAGCACGAAUUUCCCAGGUGAGCCUGCAUCAGGACGAAUUUAAAACCCAGGAAAGUUGUCCUGGAACACCUUCCAUGAGUAUGCUAGAAUGGAAUUGAAAAGGCAGGCGAGCGGCCACCACCGUCCUCUAGCAGUCCUUAGGGUGCGCGCAGAAGUCCGGUGCUCUGCGGCUUCGUUCUUCGCCCUCGUACAAGCUACCGCUCUGUCCGGCUCCCGGAGCAGGAGAAGCGGCUGCUUCGCGCACACAACAGCGGAGCGGCAGCCGUACGCUCCGAAGCGCUGCUUCAGCCGAAAGACGCCGGCGACCGGCGCUCGGCUUCGGACAGCUCCGGAGACCCGUAGUGUGCGUCUGCACUAGACUGCAUCGUAGUGAAAAGUUUUACCAGCGUAUCUCGCCGGUAGAAAGUGUAGCAGCGCAGCGCACUUAUCCCGCCCUUGUCCGGAAACACGGAUUUGCUGCACACUCCAAAAACACUGCUUUUUCCAUGGUACUAAGUAAGCUGCUCUCUGAUGCCCGUUCUCUUCUGCCCACUCUUGCCCAGCUCGUUGUUGUAGCGUGCACGUGCCGUCCUGGCAUUCAGUGCACAGCGAUAGCAAUCGCAAAAGUCCAGCAGCUGCUGACUCCCAAACACAAGCCGCUGUCUACGUUCUUGCUUCUCCACACCUCAACGGAGUCCUUCAUUUCGGCAGCUGCCAUCGAGUUCUCUGCAUCU